rnacentral:rRNA from 1 species
CAGCAGCCGCGGGAAUACGAAGGGGGCUAGCGUUGCUCGGAAUGACUGGGCGUAAAGGGCGCGUAGGCGGCGAUCAAAGUCAGGCGUGAAAUUCCUGGGCCCAACCUGGGGGCUGCGUUUGAUACUUGAUUGCUAGAGUGGGGAAGAGGGUCGUGGAAUUCCCAGUGUAGAGGUGAAAUUCGUAGAUAUUGGGAAGAACACCGGUGGCGAAGGCGGCGACCUGGUCCUUGACUGACGCUGAGGCGCGAAAGCGUGGGGAGCAAACAGGAUUAGAUACCCGCGUAGUCCCUGUAUCUUAUAC